rnacentral:rRNA from 1 species
AGUCGAGCGGUAACAGGAAUUAGCUUGCUAAUUUGCUGACGAGCGGCGGACGGGUGAGUAACGCGUAGGAAUCUGCCUGGUAGUGGGGGACAACAUGUGGAAACGCAUGCUAAUACCGCAUACGCCCUACGGGGGAAAGGAGGGGAUCUUCGGACCUUUCGCUAUCAGAUGAGCCUGCGUGAGAUUAGCUAGUUGGUGGGGUAAAGGCUCACCAAGGCGACGAUCUCUAGCUGGUCUGAGAGGAUGAUCAGCCACACUGGGACUGAGACACGGCCCAGACUCCUACGGGAGGCAGCAGUGGGGAAUAUUGGACAAUGGGGGCAACCCUGAUCCAGCCAUGCCGCGUGUGUGAAGAAGGCCUUAGGGUUGUAAAGCACUUUCAGGAGUGAGGAAGGGUGUACGGUUAAUACCCGUAUAUUUUGACGUUAACUCCAGAAGAAGCACCGGCUAACUCUGUGCCAGCAGCCGCGGUAAUACAGAGGGUGCGAGCGUUAAUCGGAAUUACUGGGCGUAAAGCGCGCGUAGGCGGUUUGUUAAGUCGGAUGUGAAAUCCCAGGGCUCAACCUUGGAAUGGCACCCGAUACUGGCAGGCUAGAGUACGGUAGAGGGGUGUGGAAUUUCCUGUGUAGCGGUGAAAUGCGUAGAUAUAGGAAGGAACAUCAGUGGCGAAGGCGACACUCUGG